GAAGCUGACCAGACAGUCGCCGCUUCGUCGUCGUCCUCUUCGGGGGAGACGGGCGGAGGGGAGGAAAGUCCGGGCUCCAUAGGGCAGGGUGCCAGGUAACGCCUGGGGGGGAAACCCACGACCAGUGCAACAGAGAGCAAACCGCCGAUGGCCCGCGCAAGCGGGAUCAGGUAAGGGUGAAAGGGUGCGGUAAGAGCGCACCGCGCGGCUGGUAACAGUCCGUGGCACGGUAAACUCCACCCGGAGCAAGGCCAAAUAGGGGUUCAUAAGGUACGGCCCGUACUGAACCC
rnacentral:RNase_P_RNA from 1 species